rnacentral:rRNA from 1 species
UACAGAGGUCUCAAGCGUUGUUCGGAAUUACUGGGCGUAAAGCGUGCGCAGGCGGCUUCUCAAGUCAGGGGUGAAAGCCCAGAGCUCAACUCUGGAAUUGCCUUUGAGACUGAGUGGCUUGAGUACGGGAGAGGUGAGUGGAAUUCCCAGUGUAGAGGUGAAAUUCGUAGAUAUUGGGAAGAACACCGGUGGCGAAGGCGGCUCACUGGCCCGUAACUGACGCUCAUGCACGACAGCGUGGGGAUCAAACAGG